GAUGAACGCUGGCGGCGUGCCUAAUACAUGCAAGUCGAGCGAACGGACGGGAAGCUUGCUUCUCUGAUGUUAGCGGCGGACGGGUGAGUAACACGUGGAUAACCUACCUAUAAGACUGGGAUAACUUCGGGAAACCGUAGCUAAUACCGGAUAAUAUUUUGAACCGCAUGGUUCAAAAGUGAAAGACGGUCUUGCUUUCACUUAUAGAUGGAUCCGCGCUGCAUUAGCUAGUUGGUAAGGUAACGGCUUACCAAGGCAACGAUGCAUAGCCGACCUGAGAGGGUGAUCGGCCACACUGGAACGGAGACACGGUCCAGACUCCUACGGGAGGCAGCAGUAGGGAAUCUUCCGCAAUGGGCGAAAGCCUGACGGAGCAACGCCGCGUGAGUGAUGAAGGUCUUCGGAUCGUAAAACUCUGUUAUUAGGGAAGAACAUAUGUGUAAGUAACUGUGCACAUCUUGACGGUACCUAAUCAGAAAGCCACGGCUAACUACGUG
rnacentral:rRNA from 1 species